ACUCCGGUUGAUCCUGCCGGACCCGACUGCUAUCGGGGUAAGGCUAAGCCAUGGGAGCCGCACGCCCUAUCGCUAUAGGGCGUGGCGCACGGCUGAGUAACGCGUGGCUAACCUACCCUAGGGACUGGGAUAACUCCGGGAAACUGGAGCUAAACCCGGAUAGGCGAGGAGUCCUGGAAAGGUUCCUCGCUGAAAGAGGUCCUAAGGGGUUAACGCUUAGGACCUGCCCUAGGAUGGGGCUACGUCCCAUCAUGGUAGUUGGCGGGGUAAUGGCCCGCCAAGCCUACGACGGGUAGGGGCCCUGAGAGGGGGAGCCCCCAGAUGGACCCUGAGACAAGGGUCCAGGCCCUACGGGGUGCACCAGGCGCGAAACCUCUGCAAUGCGGGAAACCGUGACAGGGUUACCCCGAGUGCUCUCUUUAAGGGAGCUUUUACCCGCUGUAAGUAGGCGGGGGAAUAAGCGGGGGGCAAGUCUGGUGUCAGCCGCCGCGGUAAUACCAGCCCCGCGAGUGGUCGGGACGAUUACUGGGCCUAAAGCGCUCGUAGCCGGCCUAGCAAGUCCUCUCUGAAAGCUCCGGGCCCAACCCGGAG
rnacentral:rRNA from 1 species